UGUUCAUUCUGAAAAUCAUAUUGCCAGACCCAACACCUUGUUAUCCCAAUCAUCGGUACAAGUCACCUUAUCAGCAGCGUACACUAUGGCUGACCGAUGCAUAGUGAUGCUUUGAGGCACCAGGGAAACCAGUUUAAUGAUAUGCCUCUCCUCUACUUUUUCUCAUGGACUUCGGUGAAGGUUCUAUGAUGUGAACAGGCAUCCAACAAAGCUGAUAGCACAGAAGAUGGUGCCAAGACAGACAAACAAACAGAACCUGCCUCCUCUAUGGAAGCACUUCCUGAGUUCAUUUCCCCAACAAUUCUCUUCACUAGAUUGUGGACUGCUCUAUAGAAGGGCCCAGGCUUUGAACCUCACCUUGAAAGGAGAUUCCAUCCUUCCUUCCUGCUUCUAGCAUCAACAGAGCCAAGAAUAUAUGGUAGGCAUUCAGUAAUUAUUUUUCUGUGUAACAUUAUUUUGAUUGUUACUCUAUGUUAGACUCCAAUAUUC
rnacentral:lncRNA from 13 species